rnacentral:misc_RNA from 1 species
UGUGGGAGCGGGCUUGCUCGCGAAAGCGUCAGGUCAGCCAACACUGAUGUUGACUGACACAUCGCCUUCGCGAGCAAGCCCGCUCCCACA